GUUAGAAUGUGAUUAAGUAGCUCUAAGUUAGGUUUGUAGCUUAGCAGGUGAUGAACAUACUCCUAAAUUCAAGAAGUUAAGGAAGUUAUAGGAUGAAAUGGAGGUAGAUUUACAAAGAGCAUAUACAGAUUGCUUCACUAGAAGCUAAAGUGAUACGGUAGUCAUGGGUUAAAGUUUGUAUACUUAAAUUUAAAAGAAUUCCUGAUUUUCCAAACUUAAUGCAGUGGAAGUCUUUAACAUUUUGGAUAA
rnacentral:misc_RNA from 1 species